UAUGUUUCUAGUAACCCCGCCUCGAAUACGUAAUCUAGCAUGUUCCCCGAAACGUCUUCUUCCUCCUCUCCGUCGCCGUCGCCGGCCUCCAAUGGCCAUGGCGCUUUCCUCUCUCCUCCGGGAACCGGCCCUAAAAUCAAUGGGCAAUGGUCUGGGAAACCAUGGUAGGUAGGCCUCCUGCCGGCGACCCUGCCCCUCUUCGCCGCCAGCUCUCCAGAUCCACACAAGGGUCAUAUCACUCCAGCUCGAAUGUCAACAAGACUCCAUGCUCUUCUACAUGCUUACCGGCAAACAGGAGGCACGCAUCUCUGCCGCCGCAGCUCUUAUCAACGCCCGCUUUUGGAGGCAGUGUCUUUGAGCCUCAGCACAGAUACCAAGCACUCCCGCAUUCUAUCUUUAUGAAUGUAGUAUCUAGGAGAGAGUCUUGUUGAUGGCUUUGACAAAGAUAUCCAGUGACAGUAACCAGUCCAGACACACUUGCCUUGGUGAUAUGAAUAUGAGAUCUACGCAAUACAAUGCAAUUUAGUUAGCUUCUUUGUUGACUUGUGUGAGGAUCCGAGGUGGGCAUAUAACCAUGCCGGCUCAAGUCCUACCAAAUUGCAUCUGCAUUUUCAAGCCUCCCUUUCUUUUUAUUGUUGAUAGGCCUUGGCUUGGUUCUUAGCCUUCUUGUUAAUGUUUACUACUCCCUCUGUAAAGAAAUAUAAGAGCAUUUAGAUCACUACUCUAGUGAUCUAAACGCUCUUAUAUUUCUUUACGGAGGGAGUACUGAUUAAUGAAGGAAGGAAGCUUGUUCACAAAAAAUUAUAUAUCUCUGUUUAUUUUAGUGUUCUUGACCUGAUCCGAUGAAUUUUUUUUUUAGCUACAUAAACAAAUAAAAUCGGAUUGUUUUUCUUAGAAAAGAGAAUAAGAAGAAAAAAGAGGAACUUCUGAAACCCUCUAGAACUGUAGGGUAAUGUUGCCUGCAUGCCCACAGUUUUGAGAAUAGAAAAACAAUUACACUGCUCCCUUUCUGGACCUCUACAGAACAAGCUCUAGUGCUACGGUUGCAAAACACAAUGGCUCUGCAUUUAUUUGAUACAGUUGUAAAGCAUCAUCGCUCUAAGAACAAUUACUAACUGAAACGUUACAUACAUUUUUUUAUCAUGCAGGAUCAUACAUUAUACUAGCUUGUUUAUUCAAGGCUAUUCUUGAUUUCUCGAGUCGAGGCAUCUUUUUCUGCUCCAUGCCCCCCUAUAAAUUUGAGCCACAUUGUUGGGUCAGCUAUCUCCAAGGUUCUAUCUGGAAGAGCAUCCUCAGCAAACUUAUGCAGAUCCAAUGAAUCACUGAAUGUGCCUUCUGUUGGGCUCCUUCCGGUAAACAUCUCAAGCAGCAAUAUGCCAAGGCUAUAAAUAUCACCAGCUGUUGAGGCCGCAGAGCCUUCUCCAUACUCUACAAUCAUGCAAAGCUUUCUGGUUAGCAUGCCAUAUUCAAGUGAAAAGGAAAAUAUAAAUUAGAAUAGUUUCGGUCACCUGGAG